GCCAGGCGAGGUGGCGCAUGCCUGUAACCCCAGCAGCUCAGGAGGCUGAGGCAGGAGAUAGUGAGUUCAAAGCCAGCUUCAGCAAUGGUGAGUUGCUAAGCAACUCAGUGAGACCCUGUCUCUA
rnacentral:sRNA from 1 species